GCCGGCCUGGUCGUCCUCUGGAGUGACACCAGCCAUCUGUUGUGCCUUCCAGUUGCCCUCCGGAGAGACACCAGCCGUCUUUCCUGCCACCCAAGUGACUAUGCCCAUUGGUCUAGCCCCCGGGCCAUCCACUUGAGGUCUCCCUCUCUGCCCCUGUCCUGUCCCCAGGCCGCUUGCUCCUCUGCCCUUCUACACACCUGCCCUGUAUCAACCUCAUCAGCCCUGCCCUGCUCCCAGUGUUUUCCCCAGCCAAUCAGCUCCUUUUCUGUUCUCCUGUCACAUCACCUUAUUCUUCUCACCUGAGUUUCUCCGCCCAUCACCUGCACCUCAUCUCCUCAUUAGUUCAGUCAGUAUUUUAGUUCUGCGUUUCAGUUCAUUCUUGUUUGUUCAUUUGUUUUAUUCAAUUUUACUUUGUCUGCAUGCCUGAACCUCAAAUAAAAUGAUCUUUUCAGUUCCUGCUACUCUUCAUGACAGAAUGAUCCAGCCACACAGACCCAGAGGAAGAUCUUCAUGAGGUGACAGGUUAACUGUUGUGCCAUCACACUGACUUGAAGUAUGCCUCCACUAAUGAGGACAGAGAGGAGCAUGCACCCCAAACUACUAGCAAGCAGCCUUCACUCCAAUCCAUCAGGCUUGGGUUUGUGAGCCUGUAUAUACAACCUGCCUGUCCUGAUCCUGCAUUCCCUUAACCCCAUGAGACUAAGCUCCCGACGCCACUCGCUCUCUCAGCAUCACCACAGAGUCUCUGCUGCCCACCAGAUCCAGAGCGUGUCCAGAUGGCUCCCAUUGAUCUCCAGUCUUUGCCCAUAGGCCCCCAAUGCCGGCUCCAUCCAGGCCAGCCCAAGCUCCAGUCCUCAUCAUGCGGGUGUGAACCCAGCCUGCUGCUCCAGACCAGUGGGCACCCCAGUAGCCUUUCUCCCAGUCUGCUAGCUUUGACUCUGCUAGUCACCAGCCUGACUUCAAGACCACUAGCCUCCAGUCUACAUCUGCCCCUGAGUCAGAGCCUUCUGCCUGGUCAUUCCCCUCCAAGUCCAGCCCCAGUCUCUGCGAACACUGUGAACAGUAUGAACUGGAUUCACUCAUGGACCCAGCAGAGAUACUGAAGGAGCAGUCUCCUGUUUCCCUGGCUCCACUGGCUCCACUGGCUCCACUGGCUCCACUGGCUCAACUGGCUCAACUGCCCGUCUUCCAGCCUCCGGACUCCGGUCCUGCAUUCCAGCCGCCAGACUCCGGUCCUGACCGCCAUGCAUCGGCCGCACCUUCCGAUGCCCUGCCAGACCUUCAGCAGUUGAACCAUCCAUGUCAACCUCCUGCCUUGUCUUCAGCAGUCGGCUGCCCCUGCUGACGCCCAGCCAGACCUCCAGAGGGAUAGGUGGAUGGACUUCCUCUGCAAAUGAUAACAGCUCCAAUGACCCGUGUGAAGAGCAGGGAGCUGCGUUUGAAGCAAGCACAAGAAUGGAAAUUGGCUGGUGAAAAGUUUGAUGUGUUCUUCACGGAUGAAUCAACAGUGGCAUUGGAGCAGUUUGAACUACAGUGCUACAGGAAGAAAGGCUUCACUGGCAUCAAGAAAUCAUGCAUCAAGCAUCCAGUGAAGCUUCAAGUUUGGGGAGGAAUUUCACAUCAAGCAACAGGAACAUUGUUGAUUUUUGAUGAGAAGUAUGAAUCAGCACUUUCAUGAGGAAGAGAUAAUCAAAAAACUGACUGGGCCAUAUUUAAGAGACUUUCUUCAUGCUAACGCAUUGUUUCUCCCACGGUCGCCUGAUCUGAACCCAUUGAACUUGUCUGGCAUGCCCUGAAAGACUUUGUCCGAUGUGAAGCCAAGUCACACAACAUGGAGGAACUAAUUGCUGCAAUAGAGAUGUUCUGGACCAACAAACUCACCAGAGAGGCUUGCAACAACUACACAGACCAUUUGGACAAAGUCAUCCCACACAGCAUUGUGUUAAAUGGAAUUCCUACUGCCUUAAUACAAAACAUCAUACUCACAGGGUUUGUGGUGCUGCUAGGACACGAGCCAUGUCUGAGGGACAAGCCAUGGAGCUGGCCCAGAUCCCCAAGUGCCUGAGCCACUUGCAGUAUUUGCAAGGUGAAAGGCUUCAUUCUGAACAGGUAAAUCUAACAGUUAAUAAAGUUAAACACUCUGCUUCCAGUGUAUAAGGUCACCUAGCUAAAACUAAUGCAGUCUAAUACAACAGUCCUGUGAACAAAUCCUCCAUUUAUGAAGGUGAUAAUGUUAAGUUUUUGUUUAAACCUUUUCAGUGUUGUUUCAAAUCUAUGAUCAUUUUGGAGGCUCCAGAUUGUACUACUGUUGAAAUGUAUUGUACUAUACUGACAGGAAUUUCUAAUCUUGUGUCCACCUCAUUAUGUCGUUGAGGUUAGGCUAAAUAACAGAAAACACCGCUCUUCAUAAUGAAAUAUAGUUCAGCAGUACCACAAACUACAGCCUCCAAAAUGACCAUACAGUUAUGCAGUUUCAUAAUGGAAACAGCAUUGUGAACAUUUGUCUUUGUAUUCAUUCUUACAUACUUGUAAUUUUGACUCAAUCGUCUUCACUUUGUUUUGCACUACAUUGUAAUAACAGAUUGCACCUCACAGUUAUCUAAUAUUUCAUGAUAAUUGUUUUGGCUAAAAACAACACAUAUUGUACCUUGUUUUUUCUGAAAUCAUUGAAAAAGGCACCGCAUUGUGAUACAACAUUAUUACAGCACUCAAAUAACUCAGAGCUGAAUCAUGAGCUCUCACAGGGUCAGCCAGAGUCAUGAAGCUUUAAAAACUGUUUCACAUUGAAUUGCUUUGUAUCACAUUGUACUGCUUAAAACUUGCAACUAUGUGUCAUAACAUUACCACAGUUAAAUACCUAUAAAUACAAAAGC